rnacentral:lncRNA from 10 species
AAAAGAGUGGAAGGAGGUGAGCGCAGCGAGGACCGAGGCGAAGGAGGGUCAGUGCGGAAACCCGGUGUGAGGGGCCGAGUGAGGAAGGUUCCUGCAGGGCGGCGACCGGGUUUUAGGAGGUCGCGGCCCUGCCUUUACCGGAGGGCGAGUCCCCGCCAAGCCCGGGCUUUGGAGAUGGACCGAAGAGGGGAGGGAGGACUAGGUACAGAAAUAAACCGCGGAGCAAGAAGCACACAGUGCCGAAGACAGAAAGCCGGAGGAGAAGUCGAAACCGCCUCCUCAGCCUCUGCGGGAGCGUGGUAGGGGAAGAGUCACAGACUGACCCUGCGUCUCCCGCCGGGAACCAACUGCAGUGGUACACCCCACGGAAAGCUACGUCUCCUUACCGACUGCGCACGCCCCCAACAGACUACAACUCCCAGAAGCCCCCGCCCGCGUUCCGGCGACUGCGUGGCAGCACGGGCCGCUUCCUUAUCCGAGAAAUUAACAACAUAAAGAAGAAAAUGUUUGCGAAGAAGAUUUUAUGUGAUCAAUCAACAAAGACAUGAAGCAUGGAGAUUUUGAGAAAGGUCAGGAAACUAUAGAGAAAGACAGGUUAUUGGGGAAGCUGGUGGUGUUUGGUUACAUGAGUAAGUUCUUUUGUGGUGAUUUGUGAGAUUUCAUUGCACCCAUUGCCCAAGCAGUAUACACUGAACCCUAUUUGUAGUCUUUGCUCCCUCACCCCCUUCCCACCCUUUCCCCCUGAUUCCCCAAGUCCAUUGUGUCAUUCUUAUUGCGGGAAGUCAAGAACCCCAAACGGAGGGACCAGCUGAAGCUGCAGCAGAAGAACAUAAAUUGUGAAGAUUUCAUGGACAUUUAUUAGUUCCCAGAAUUAAUACUUUUAUAAUUUCUUAUGCCUGUCUUACUUUAAUCUCUUAAUCCCAUCAUCUUCAUAAGCUGAGGAUGUGUGUUGCCUCAGGACCCUGUGAUGAUUGCAUUAACGGUACAAAUUGUGUGUAAAACAUAUGUGUUUGAACAAUAUGAAACUGAUUGUAAAACAUGGGUGUUUGAACAAUAUGAAAUCAGUGCACCCUGAAAAAGAACAGAAUAACAGUGAUUUUCAGGGAACGAGGGAGGAUAAAGGUCUGACUGCCUGUGGGGUCAGGCAGAAUACAGCCAUAUUUUUCUUUCUGCAGAAAGCGAGUAGGAGAAAUAUCACUGAAUUCUUUUCUCAGCAAGGAAUAAACCUGGGGAAGGAAUGCAUUCUUGGGGGGAGGUCUAUAGAUGGCCACUCUGGGAGUGUCUGUCUUAUGCGGUUGAGAUAAGGGCUGAAAUACGCCCUGGUCUCUUGCAGUACCCUCAGGCUUACUGGGAUUGGAAAAUUCCAGCCUGGUAAAUUCUAGUCAGACCAGUUCUCUGCUUUCGAACCCUGUUUCCUGUUAAGAUGUUUAUCAAGACAAUGCAUGCACAGUGGGACAUAGACCUCCAUCAGUAUUUCUAAUUUUGCCUUGCCUUGUGAUCUUUAUUGCCCGUUGAAGCAUGUAAUCCUUGUGACCUACUCCCUGUUUGUACACCCCCUCCCUUUCUAAAAUCCCUAAUAAAAACUUGCUGAUUUUGCGGCUCGGCGUCACCAUCAUGGUCCUACUAAUAUGUGAUGGCACUCCCGGAGGCCCAGCUGUAAAAUUUC